GACGUAGGGCGCGAGCGUUGUCCGGAUUUAUUGGGCGUAAAGAGCUCGUAGGCGGCUUGUCGCGUCGUCCGUGAAAACUUGGGGCUCAACCCCAAGCUUGCGGUCGAUACGGGCGGGCUAGAGUUCGGUAGGGGAGACUGGAAUUCCUGGUGUAUCGGUGAAAUGCGCAGAUAUCAGAAGGAACACCGGUGGCGAAGGCGGGUCUCUGGGCCGAUACUGACGCUGAGGAGCGAAAGCGUGGGGAGCGAACAGG
rnacentral:rRNA from 1 species